AAUAAUCGCUUUUGUGGGACUAUCUUCUGUUAGAUCACCUCUUCUUAAUGGUGAAUACCACGCCAUUUUGUCUCUUGGAUUCGCCAACCUCUGACGUAGAAAGCCAAUGAACCGACUGUGCAACCUUCCCAAAACGUACAAAGUGGCCGUUCCUUGCACAAGUUGAAAAGAUCAACUAUUAAAGGACAUGGACGGAACCGUCAGCCCGUAGUGCGGAGAAGCGAUGAAUAUCCUGUUGAGAAUGCUAAGCGUGGAUUCUAAGCCUCAUAAACCUUUUUGGGGAAUUUUGACAACCUUCGGCUAGAUUGGUUUAGUGGCUCAUGAUUUUUAGGGAAGAAAUAAAUAAAAUAGAUAUGAGAUUUUUAUUGAAGAAAAUAUGGAAAGAAC
rnacentral:lncRNA from 1 species